rnacentral:rRNA from 1 species
GACGUAGGGCGCGAGCGUUGUCCGGAUUUAUUGGGCGUAAAGAGCUCGUAGGCGGCUUGUCGCGUCGUCCGUGAAAACCCACAGCUCAACUGUGGGCUUGCGGUCGAUACGGGCAGGCUAGAGUUCGGUAGGGGAGACUGGAAUUCCUGGUGUAGCGGUGGAAUGCGCAGAUAUCAGGAGGAACACCGGUGGCGAAGGCGGGUCUCUGGGCAGUAACUGACGCUGAGGAGCGAAAGCGUGGGGAGCGAACAGG